ensembl:lncRNA
GUAAUCGCUCUCCCCACGGAGCCCUUUGGAUCCUAGAGGAGACGGGGAUUAGCUCAUUUAGCACAUUUGAUUUGGUUAAGACGACCACCUGUUCGCCCGACGGAAUGCUAAUAUGUUACCGUGACAACAGCCAGGGAUAAAACUGUCUGGAGCGCGCGCUGGUCCUCCACCUUGGAAAUAUAUACCUACCAACCUGACAAACCUCACGUGGACACACAACUGACCUGGAUGGAGAGCAGCGUUAGAGAUGAGACGGGAGACGAUACGGAAGAAAAGACUCACAACCCCCACAGCCAGCGCACACUCCCUAACGUUGAUGCAUCCAAACCCCUUCCUUCAACUGUGUGCGUGUUUGUUGGGGGAGGGGGGAGGAGAUAGAGAGGGAGAGAUAUAUCUGUACACAGAGCCUAAGGCCCAUGUGCUCAGCUCUCUGGAUGAAGACAUGCUCCAUUGGAAAUGAACGGAUGUUCUGAAAACGACCAAGCAGCCAAUGAAAUACGAGGGAGUAGUGGAACUUUAACCAGACCGCAGAGAAGUCCCUCAGAGGUGUCCUCCGGAGCCUGGCUGGCGGCUGCGUGGCAGACAGAACCGGCCCAGCAGGCUGAGCGGCGGCGUCGUGGUCCGGGGAGCGGAGGGGAAGGAGUCCGCCCCCCCCCUGCUGUGAAUGUACCAGAAGCCAACGGAGGAGGCUGCUGCUGCUGCCGCCGCCGCCGCCGCCGCCGCGGCGUCAGACAAC